rnacentral:rRNA from 1 species
CCUACGGGAGGCUGCAGUGAGGAAUAUUGGUCAAUGGACGCGAGUCUGAACCAGCCAAGUAGCGUGAAGGAUGACUGCCCUACGGGUUGUAAACUUCUUUUAUAAAGGAAUAAAAUGAGGCACGUGUGCCUUUUUGCAUGUACUUUAUGAAUAAGGAUCGGCUAACUCCGUGCCAGCAGCCGCGGUAAUACGGAGGAUCCGAGCGUUAUCCGGAUUUAUUGGGUUUAAAGGGAGCGUAGAUGGGUUGUUAAGUCAGUUGUGAAAGUUUGCGGCUCAACCGUAAAAUUGCAAUUGAUACUGGCAGUCGUGAGUACAGUUGAGGUAAGCGGAAUUCGUGGUGUAGCGGUGAAAUGCUUAGAUAUCACGAAGAACCCCGAUUGCGAAGGCAGCUUACUAAACUGUGACUGACAUUGAUGCUCGAAAGUGUGGGUAUCAAACAGGAUUAGAUACCCCAGUAGUC